rnacentral:rRNA from 1 species
AGGCAGCAGUAGGGAAUUUUUCGCAAUGGAGGAAACUCUGACGGAGCAAUACCGCGUGUGGGAAGAAGAUUUUCGGAUUGUAAAACCACUGUUGUAAGGGAAGAACGUUAUUAGUAGGAAAAUGGCCUAAUAAGUGACGGUACCUUACCAGAAAAGGGACGGCUAACUACGUGCCAGCAGCCGCGGUAAUACGUAGGUCCCGAGCGUUAUCCGGAAUUAUUGGGCGUAAAAGGGCACGUAGGCGGACAAAUAAGUUUGAUGUCAAAAUAUGAUGGCUCAAACCAUCAAAGAGGCGUUGAAAAACUGUUUAUCUAGAAUCUCGGAGAGGUAAGUGGAAUUCCAUGUGUAGCGGUGGAAUGCGUAGAUAUAUGGAGGAACACCAAUGGCGAAGGCAGCUUACUGGACGAAGAUUGACGCUGAGGUGCGAAAGCGUGGGUAGCAAACAGGAUUAGAUACCCUGGUAG